UAUAUCGGUAAACUAUUACGGAAACAUAUGGACUUUGGUAUUAUUCCAAAUUAGAUGACAUUUUAUCUAUUUACAUAUAUUAAAUACUACAGCUAUUUUUUUCUUCAUUGUCGAAAUUAAAUAUUUAGUGUCUAAGUGUUAAUAUUCGUUUGGACUACACGUGGUGUAAUUUAAGAAUGAAACCCAAAUCAUAUUUUUCAUAAGUGGCAUUCUGAUUUUCAUCAGGUAUUGUGCCGCAGUUAAUCCGAUCAAUUGAAAAUGCAAGACAUCUCUUCUUAUCUCACAGUAUCAUCUGACAUCCUUUGGAUGCAGUUCCCCAGGAGGCCCAGGCCCCUCAUGGACCCCGUGAUCAU